ACACCUUAUCCAACAAUAAGUAAUCAUAAACUUCUUGGAUUUCUAAAGUCUGGUUGCAGAAUGGAUCGACCAGAAAAUUGUUCUACUAUAAUAUACAACAUCAUGCUGCACUGUUGGAGUGAAGAUCCGUUACAACGCCCAACAUUUUCAGAAUUACGAAACCAUCUUGAAGAAUUAUUAUUACAAGGCGGUUUUUAUUUCAGCUUUGAUAUUAAUGAAAAUAACGUGUAUUAUAAUGCUACCUCCUUUAACCAUCUCCCAUCUGAAACAGGCAAUGGCUCCCAUGAAGUAGAGAGAAUCCGUAAUGCUCAUAUAACCGUGUGAAGAAGUUUAUUUAUGUAUUGAUUUUCAAUCAACAUAGCGAAGGAGGAUUUAAGUAAAACCUAACUUCGGAUUAAUUAUAGCAUUUCUAUUUAA
rnacentral:lncRNA from 1 species